GCUUCGAAACUCUUCCCACAUACCCCCGGGGUGCUUCAGCUAAACUGAGGCACACCCCCAACCCGGGGUACCCGUAAAGGAUUUCCCCUGCGCA